GGUGGGCGUGGGUGUGUG
rnacentral:misc_RNA from 1 species